rnacentral:rRNA from 1 species
UACAGAGGGUGCAAGCGUUAAUCGGAAUUACUGGGCGUAAAGCGCGCGUAGGCGGUCGAGUGAGUCGGAUGUGAAAUCCCCGGGCUUAACCUGGGAAUUGCAUUCGAUACUGCUCGGCUAGAGUGUGGAAGAGGGAAGCGGAAUUUCCGGUGUAGCGGUGAAAUGCGUAGAUAUCGGAAGGAACACCAGUGGCGAAGGCGGCUUCCUGGUCCAACACUGACGCUGAGGCACGAAAGCGUGGGGAGCAAAC